UACGGAGGGUGCGAGCGUUGUCCGGAAUCACUGGGCGUAAAGGGCUCGUAGGCGGCCAACUAAGUCAGACGUGAAAUCCCUCGGCUUAACCGGGGAACUGCCUCUGAUACUGGAUGGCUUGAGAUUGGGAGAGGGAUGCGGAAUUCCAGGUGUAGCGGUGAAAUGCGUAGAUAUCUGGAGGAACACCGGUGGCGAAGGCGGCAUCCUGGACCAACACUGACGCUGAGGAGCGAAAGCCAGGGGAGCAAACGGG
rnacentral:rRNA from 1 species